UACGAAGGGGGCUAGCGUUGCCCGGAAUCACUGGGCGUAAAGCGCACGUAGGCGGCUUUCUAAGUCAGGGGUGAAAUCCUGGAGCUCAACUCCAGAACUGCCUUUGAUACUGGAAAGCUUGAGUUCGGGAGAGGUGAGUGGAACUGCGAGUGUAGAGGUGAGAUUCGUAGAUAUUCGCAAGAACACCAGUGGCGAAGGCGGCUCACUGGCCCGAUACUGACGCUGAGGUGCGAAAGCGUGGGGAGCAAACAGG
rnacentral:rRNA from 1 species